CCAGAGGCUCAGCGGUGGCCAGGCGUGAGACUCUGGAGGAGGUGGGCACUUGAUUCUCCAUUUCUGGAAAUGCUGUCAGCUCUGUCCAGGACGCUGCAACCACCAGCCUACAUUGCGGCUGCAGAAAACUGAGGACAACAGCAGGUUGUGGACGCGGAAUCGUAGAACUCAGUGCAAAUACAAGCCUCCGGACUCCUCUCGGCCCGUACGCCCUUGCCUGUGCCCCUUAGUGGCUGCUCCGAGCCCACAAGGGUCACAAGUGUAAGUCAAUUUUUCACUGAUGUGGGAAGAUAUCACUAGCAAGGACAGAUCUCCAGCAGAGGGACAGGAACACCAGGGCUGUUCCUCUGCUGAUAUUCUCUCAACUGCAGCAAGAAAAGCAGUAGGACUCGUGAGAACCGUAAACCCCUGUGUCCACAUUGAACUCUGUAGUUUACCACAGAUGCCUCUAUCCGACAUCUGAUUCAAUGCCACCAGCAAGCCUACAAGGUGUUGUAAUCCUUAAUGACGGCAGAGAUGGACUGAUAACAUGGCUUUCAAAAAGGUUGGGGGGAGGCAAUAAUGGAAUUUCAAUCCGGUCUUCUGCCUCUGAAUUCCAGGGUUAUGCCAUGAAAUCAGCAGGUGCUAAGAGGCAAACCCAGAGGCAAACAAGCGGAAAAGUAAACAUCUGAAUAAUCAGACCUCAGCGUCCUUUCCUACACA